rnacentral:lncRNA from 1 species
CGGCGGCCCGGCCCGGCCCCCGGAGCUGCUCGGUGCCCCUCGUCUUUCCGCGGCCCGAAGCGUCGAGCCGGUGGCGCUUGUCCUCACGGCGUGUGCCUGCCAGGUGGUGAGGGCGCUGGCCUGCCUCUUCCAGCAUCCCUUGCUUUCUCUUACAGAUGAUAAUCUUGUUUAAUUGGGAAGCAACAACAGAAGCACUGCUCAUUGGCUCUUUCUCACCUUCCUACCUCUUCAUCCUUCCCUACCACCCCGCUGAGGUCUCCAAGGAAUGAGCUUGUACUUCUCCUUGCUGGAAACGGGAGUUUCUACCAGCCACCCUUGUAGACACAGCCUAUUUGCCCAUCCUGUCAUGCAAAUGAAAAGCCUGGUGGUAUUUCGGUAGCCCUUUCAUGAAGGGAGUUGGGAACGAAGCUCAGCUGCACCUUUGCCAAGGGUAUUUCCAUUUCCCCUCUGGAGGGCUGGAGAACAGAGCAAAAACUCCCCAGCAGACCAGGACUUGAACAAAGCCUGUGGAGAAAGCAGUCCUAAGAGUCAGCAAACUUAUUGCCAGGAGAUCAGGAUGAGUGCGCAUAACCAGGCAAGUCCUUCAUU